GAGGAGUGUCUAAGACACGAAGAACUGCUAAUUCCAAGCCCUGUAGUUAAAAUCCACAGACUCCUCA
rnacentral:tRNA from 1 species